GAAUGUUUUCUUAUGAAGCUACGACUUUUAUCUUGGAAUGUCCGUGGCCUCAAUGGUCCGGGCAAGCGAAAGGUGGUGAAGAUGGCAGUGAGAAAAUGGGGGGUGCAUUUGGUGUGUCUUCAAGAAACAAAGAUUGAUUCUAUGACUGAUCGGGUGGUGAAGAGUUUGUGGGGUAACCGGUUUGUUGAGUGGGAGGCGCUGGAUUCUGUUGGGACUUCAGGUGGUGUUCUUAUUAUGUGGGAUAGGAGAUGAAUGGCUAAGGUGGAUGUUUUUAGGGGGAUUUUUUCUUUGUCUUGUGCCUUUGUGAUGGAGGAGGAUGGUUUCACUUGGGGUUUUUCUAGGGUAUAUGGGCUGGUUGAUGAUGAUGUGAGGGACGGUUUGUGGGAGGAGUUGAGUGGGGUGAAGGGGAGGUGGUCUCUUCCUUGGUGUGUGGCAAGUGAUUUUAAUGUGGUUAGGUCCCCGGCGGAGAGAUCUACAAGAGGUCCGUGGACUCAGGCUAUGAUGCACUUUUCUGACUUUAUUGAUGGUCAUCAGCUUAUUGAUCUUCCUCUUGAGGGAGCUUUUUUCACUUAGUCUAGUGGAAGGGAAGUACCAACUUUCUCUUGCCUUGAUAGAUUUUUGAUUUCCAGGGACUGGGAAGAGAAGUUCCCAGAUGUUGUUCAGCCUGUGUUGGCUAGGGUGACGUCGGACCACAUUCCCUUGGUUUUAGACUGUGGAGGGUUGAAAUCUUGUAGCAAUCCUUUCAGAUUUGAGAAUAUGUGGCUUCGUGCGGAUAACUUCCAGGGAUUUGUGCAUUCUUGGUGGGAGGAGAACUUGGUGGUGGGUACGUCGAGUUUUAUUCUUGCAGGAAAGCUUCGAAUUCUGAAAAAUAAUCUCAAAAGGUGGAAUAAGGAGGUUUUUGGGAGUUUGGAGUGGAGGAAGAAUAGGGCUUUGGUUGAUAUUGUCGAGAUUGAUAGACUAGAAGGGGAGGGUGUUCUUUCUGAAUCUCAAUGCAGUAGGAGAGCAGCUUGUCAGGCAGAAUGUGUGGAGAUUGCAAUUUUGGAGGAAAUUUCGUGGCGCUAGAAAUCUCGGGCCUUGUGGCUCAAAGAGGGAGACCGGAAUACCAAGUUUUUCCAUAGAACUGCUAAUGCUCAUAGGAGGAAUAAUCACAUUGGGCGGAUGUGUGUGGAUGGUGCGGUUUUGACUACGGAGAAGGAGGUACGUAGCGGUAUUGUCUCUUUCUACCAAAAGCUUUAUUCUGAGCCUUUUCGAUGGAGGCCACGUCUUGAUGAUCUUCACUUUGAUUCUAUUUUUGCCUUGGAAAGAGAUGGGUUGGAAAGUCCUUUUUCGGAGGAAGAGGUGCUGAAGGCUUGUAAGAGCUGUAAUGGUGAUAAGGCUCCAGGCCCGGACAGCUUUACUACGAGAUUUCUGUUGGAGAGCUGGGAGGUGGUCCGGUACGAGGUUAUGGGCACUUUUCAUGAGUUUCAUUCCACGGGGCGGUUUGAGAAAUCACUGAACGCAUCUUUUAUUGCCUUUAUACCUAAGAAGGGUGGUGCGUCUAACAUUAAGGAUUUUCGACCAAUCAGUCUGAUUGGGUGCAUUUACAAGCUUAUCACAAAAGUACUUGCGUCUCGAUUGAGGGAGGUUUUGGAUGGAGUUAUCUCUGAGUCUCAGAAUGCUUUCAUUGGGGGUAGACAGAUCCUGGAAUCCACUCUUAUUGCCAGUGAAUGUGUGGAUUCUAGACUGUGUAGUGGGGCUCCUGGUGUUCUUUGUAAGCUGGAUAUCGAGAAAGCCUAUGAUCAUGUCUGCUAGAAUUUCCUGUUCUACCUGUUGGAGAGGAUGGGCUUUGGUGAGAGAUGGAGGAAAUGGAUUGUUUCAUGUGUUUCCACUGUUAGAUUUUCGGUGUUGGUGAAUGGGUCUCCUACAGGGUUUUUCGACAGUUCUCACGGUCUGAGGCAAGGGGACCCUCUUUCCUCGUUCCUUUUUAUUAUUGUUAUGGAGACUCUUAGUACGUUGAUGAGAAGGGCGGUGGACUUGGGUUUUAUCAGGGGCUUUAAGAUCGGCCCCGACUCCGUUCAGCAGAUGGAGAUUUCUCACUUGCCCUUUGUGGAUGACACUAUUGUUUUUUGCAAGGCAGAGGUGUUCGAGUUGAGGUAUCUGAGAUGUGUCUUGGUUUGCUUUCAGGUUGUCUCUGGUUUGAAAGUCAACGUGGGCAAGAGUGUGCUUGUCCCUGUGGGGGAGGUUCAGGAGGUGGACACUCUGGCUGUUGUUUUAGGGUGUGGGACGCAACGCUUCCCUAUCUCGUAUUUGGGUUUGUCGCUGGGGAACUCGGCCAGGAGGGUGGGAAGUUGGGACCUGGUGAUUGAGAGGGUCGAGAGAAGAUUAGCUGCUUGGAAAAAGCAAUCUCUCUCUAAGGGUGGUAAAGUUACGUUAGUGAAAAAUAUCUUGUCAAGCCUCCCAAAGUAUUUUCUUUCACUUUUUCGGGUUCCAGCCUCGGUUGUUGGACGUCUUGAGAUGCUUCAACGAAACUUCCUUUGGGGAGGUCGUGGAGAGGAGUUUAAGUAUCAUCUUGUUAGAUGGGAGCAGGUUUGCAGGCCAUUUCAGUUGGGCGGGCUUGGGAUUAGGAGAUUGCCCCCUUUAACAGUGCUCUCCUUGGUAAGUGGCUUUGGAGAUUUGGCAGUGAAAGGCAUAGAUUAUGGAGAAGGGUUAUUUUUUGUCGCUUUGGGGAGGAGAGAGGGGGGUGGUCAGCUAGGCCAGUCAGGUCUGCUAGUGGAGUGGGGGUGUGGAGGGCCAUUGGAAAAGGAUGGGACGAGUUUUCUAAACAUGUUAGAUUCAGAGUUCGGGAUGGAAGGUUUGUCUGGUUUUGGGAGGAUCCCUGGUGCGAGGAUUGCCCUUUGCCUCUUUUGUUUCCAAGGCUGUUUAGGAUUGCUGUUGACAAAUAUGCUAUGGUUGCUAAUUGCUAUCGCCUUGACAGCGGGAGGUUGUCUUGGGAUGUGCAAUUCCGACAAUCUUUUCAGGAUUGGGAGUUGGAUGAUGUCACUGGCUUGUUGGCUCUCUUGUACAGACAGGAGGUGGAGGGCACUGGUGUUGACUCCCUGAUCUACUCAGGGAAUGUUCCAGGUCCGGUCUUUUUUUGUGUGCCUCUUUGGUUUUCAUGGCGUUACCUUCCCAUGGAAGACGGUGUGGUUGUCCAAGGCGCCUCUUAGGGUGGCCUUUUUUGUGUGAACUGUAGCUUGGAAUAAGAUUUUGACUUUGGACAACUUGAGGAAGCGAAGACAUGUUAUUGUUAAUCGGUGUUGUCUUUGUAAGUUGAAUGGGGAGUCAGUGGAUCACCUGCUGCUGCAUUGUCCUGUGGCUCAUGAUUGUUGGAGUCUCAUUUUUGGUCUGUUUGGUAUUCAUUGGGUCAUGCCUCGGACUUCUCGGGAAUUGUUGGAUAUUUGAAGGGUCCAAUGGGUAGGGGCUCAGGCGAGAGUCUUCUGGAGGGUAAUCCCUUUUUGUGUUUGGAGGAGCAAUUGGAAAGAGCGGAAUAGAAGAUUUUUUGAUGGGAAGGAGUCCUCCAUUGGGGUGUUGAAAUUUUCUAUUAUUUGUACUCUUUUUUGUUGGGGUUGGGGGAGAGAUUUUUCCUUUAUUGAGGAUAUUGUGGACCUUUUGGGCUCUUUGAGAUUAUAGGUUCUGCUUUAUCUUUGUAUAGCUUGGGAUGCGUUCCCCUUUUGAAUGCCUUUUAAUACAUUUUACUUAUCAAAAAAAAAAAAAAAAAAAAAUUGAGGUAAUCAAUAUUUGACUUUAUGAUUACCCCAUAUCUCCCAAUUAUUCAAAACUCCAUGUGGGCCCAUAUUAUCUAGCCUAUGCUAGCUCAAAUUUUAGAAUCCUCCUUUUGGUGCCUUUUAUACAUCUUUAAAGAUUUCUGCUAUUGAUCUCUAUCAAUUCUCUCAAGCUUGGAAAACUCAACUCUGACGAGUUAAAGGGAUGGAAUUGCUCAUAAAGGUCUGGAGCUAUAUAUUGGAACUUAUCAGCAAUCCAAGUACAAAAAAAAAUUGGUAAGGAACUUCUGAUAACCACUCUGAAAAUCAGCUUGUGUUUUGUAACUCUCAUUGGUCAUUGCAAACUUCCUUCGAACUUCCGCAUAGAUAUCAUUAAUAUGCUUCCUAAAAGCAUCAACUUGUGUUUUGUAACUCUCUUCGCUCAUUGCAAUCUUCCUUCGCACUUCCGCAUGGAUAUCAUUAAUAUGCUUACUAAAAGCAUCAGCUUCAGCACUAGGCCGUGCCACCAUUGGUAAAGGCACCGAGUCAAUUGGUUUGUUAUCAAACAAGACUAACAAGCUAAAGAUUAAAUUGAGCCUGGCACAUUUAUACUGUUGAACAAGCUUGAAAAGCUGAGAACAAGCUAAUCUAAUUUGUUCGUAUAUCUGCAGCCUACAUCUAGUUGUCUCGUUAUCUUUACAGCCUCUGGAAAUCUCCGAGAAAAUUUAGCAUCGCUGACAAUUUUACCAUAUAAUGAGGAUUGUGCCCCCUUAAAACACCCAGAAAAGAAUAUUGAGAUUGAAGCCUAUAAACAGGGGAAGGGAAAGAGAGCUUAAGUGAAGACGAUUCUCAGAUUGUAAUGCUUUCCGUGUACCGAUGCUUAGUGGAACCACUUCUCCUAAACCCAAGAUGCUUCCUGAAGACUCUUGUGUGGGCCCAAUGAGCUCCAGUCCAUCAGAUGCAGCGGUACUAUCGGCUUGGAGUCCUUGAUAACUGCUCGGCGAAAUGGAGUUCUCUCGUUGAUUGCUUAAGUUUGAAAACAAAACGUUCUUCUGAGCUGGAGG